CAGUAGCCACGGUAAUACGUAGGUCCCGAGCGUUGUCCGGAUUUAUUGGGCGUAAAGCGAGCGCAGGCGGUUAGAUAAGUCUGAAGUUAAAGGCUGUGGCUUAACCAUAGUACGCUUUGGAAGCUGUUUAACUUGAGUGCAGAAGGGGAGAGUGGAAUUCCAUGUGUAGCGGUGAAAUGCGUAGAUAUAUGGAGGAACACCGGUGGCGAAAGCGGCUCUCUGGUCUGUAACUGACGCUGAGGCUCGAAAGCGUGGGGAGCGAACAGGAUUAGAGACCCCUGUAGUCCCUGUCUCUUAUACA
rnacentral:rRNA from 1 species